rnacentral:ncRNA from 2 species
GAAUUCCGCCACGUUUCAGGUGCUUUGAUCGCUUUGAGCGAUCGAGUUAAACGGGAACCAGGUAAAGGCAAUCCUGAAUUAGUCGUUCGCCUGCGAUUUGACGCAGAAUCACGCGGCUCGCGAAGACUUGUUGAGAGAUUUUCUGGAUGCCUGGGCUGCCCCCGCAACGGUAAGCAAGUGUAGGCGUGCCAAGCAGCCACUGUGAAUUUUCAUGGGAAGGCGGUACGCAAGUCUUGCGAGCCCGGAUACCGGCCUCGAACGCAUACGGAAA